rnacentral:lncRNA from 1 species
CUGGAAUGAUCUCAGAAUUUCCAUAUAAGCCAUAAAGAGCUGCUCUUUCCAGUGUCAGACUUGCUUUCUGACCCAACAGCAUCUCUUACCAGAGGAAGAUGCUUCCUUGUCUCCAGUAACACAAAGCAGUUUCCAGUUUGAGGGAGAAGAUGGGAAUGGGAAGAAAAGAGAAUUGAUGGUGCUCAUGCCUGUUUUUGGAAUGAUGCUGCAACACCCCGACCACAACCGAUUGCUGGGAGAGUGACAGAUAAUGAGGUACAAGAGUGUUGUUUGCCAUGGGAGUCCUUCUUUGACUGUUUAAACUCUUUUUUUACAACAGCAUAAUUUCUUUCUUAGAUCACCAUGAAACUGAGAGAACACAGACCGGCACUUUACAACAGACCCCUUGAUACAGCAGUGCUGAAUAUUGGCUGAUACUUCAGACAAAGGAACUGAAUCCAGUAGAAAACAAGCAUCCUUCCUCCCCAGAAGGAGGUGUGUGAAUGUGAUUGCUGCAGAAGCCACUGUCUCAUCAAGGAGGAAGAUGCACAGCCUGUCAGCUCCUCAUGAUCUGCUGGAAGCUAGGGUGUGGACAUUGGGACAGCAGCUGUGUCUUCCAACUGGAUCUAGGCUCUUCUCCAAGCAGGUACCCUGACCUCCACUGCAGAGCCAGUUCAGCUGGCCCACUUCACGUGAAGCUCAAAAUCUGUGUCAAAAAGUCCUUUAGGGAAGAAGGCCACUUGCCUCGUUAAGGGAUGCCCUCGAUUAGUCUCCCUCUGGACUAAAGGCCCAGUGCAGCCAUGGGACAAGGCAGUAUUUACACAAAGCACAGGAGAUGCGUCAGAGCAGGAAAUACAAGGGUAAGUGAAACUAGUUUCAGAAGAAAGGACUGGAAAGUAGAGCUUAGCAGUCAGACGAUUCCUAUUCAGAAACAAAGUCAUUGUUAUUUUGAGAGUCUUGUUUCAUGAAUGAUAUGUGUAUCUGAGAUAUUUUCCCUGUUAUGAGAAGCAAAAUAUUUUUAUUAUUUUUUUUUUAAUCCCAGCAAGCAUCAUGCAGAGCUGAUAUUUUAGCCUUUCAGCAGGAAUGCUCCCAAGCAGCUGUCUGGGGGAUGCGGUCUGACAGCUUUGGGGCUGUGCAGGUGGCAGGCAGUGGGA